rnacentral:lncRNA from 1 species
UUUUUAAGCUCUUUUAUGUUGAAUGGCUCUCUUUUGUAAAGGAGGUGGAACUGGAUCUCUUACAGAGCUAUUUUAGAGAAUAACUGAGCAUUGGCUGAGCAGAGUGGGUGAGGGGAAGUGGUCACCAAAUGGGGUAUCCUGUUUCUCAUUAUCAGGACAAUUAUUUCUGACAAAUUAAGCAUGACAGUUAGUGGUCCUCUUAACUCUGAGGAAUAAUCAUUAAAUGGGUUUAAAAUAGCUAAUUAUUGAAGUAGUUUAAAACUGUUUACUCAACUAAUUUAAAGUAUGUAAAUUCCUUAAUGCUUUCUUUGGGCUCUAGAAGCUAGAAGCCUCUGGACAACAAAUUGUACCCCAAUUAGAUUAUAUUUUGCUCACUGGCAAUUAGGUCUGAGGGCCCUGGGAGAAUGGGCUAUAUAAGUAGGGAGAUUUCAUUUCAGUUGGAAAAGAUCCUGGAACAUUGCAGGAAAGGAUAGACUCAUUAGCUAUUUAGAAAUAUAAUAUGCUGGAGCUAUGAUGCC